UACGAAGGGGGCUAGCGUUGCUCGGAAUCACUGGGCGUAAAGGGUGCGUAGGCGGGGCUUUAAGUCAGGGGUGAAAUCCUGGAGCUCAACUCCAGAACUGCCUUUGAUACUGAAGAUCUUGAGUUCGGGAGAGGUGAGUGGAACUGCGAGUGUAGAGGUGAAAUUCGUAGAUAUUCGCAAGAACACCAGUGGCGAAGGCGGCUCACUGGCCCGAUACUGACGCUGAGGCACGAAGGCGUGGGGAGCAAACAGG
rnacentral:rRNA from 1 species